GUGUCAGCAGCCGCGGUAAGACGGAGGGGGCUAGCGUUGUUCGGAAUGACUGGGCGUAAAGGGCGCGUAGGCGGUUACUUAAGUGAGGCGUGAAAGCCCUGGGCUUAACCCAGGAAUAGCGUUUCAUACUGUGUGACUUGAGUGCGAGAGAGGAAAGUGGAAUUCCUAGUGUAGAGGUGAAAUUCGUAGAUAUUAGGAAGAACACCAGAGGCGAAGGCGGCUUUCUGGCUCGCAACUGACGCUGAGGCGCGAAAGCGUGGGGAGCAAACAGGAUUAGAUACCCUGGUAGUCCACGCUGUAAACGAUGAGUGCUAGACGUUGGAGGUUACCCUUCAGUGUCGCAGCUAACGCAUUAAGCACUCCGCCUGGGGAGUACGGUCGCAAGAUUAAA
rnacentral:rRNA from 1 species